GACGAACGCUGGCGGCGUGCUUAACACAUGCAAGUCGAACGGAAAGGCCCUGCUUUUGUGGGGUGCUCGAGUGGCGAACGGGUGAGUAACACGUGAGUAACCUGCCCUUGACUUUGGGAUAACUUCAGGAAACUGGGGCUAAUACCGGAUAGGAGCUCCUGCUGCAUGGUGGGGUUGGAAAGUUUCGGCGGUUGGGGAUGGACUCGCGGCUUAUCAGCUUGUUGGUGGGGUAGUGGCUUACCAAGGCUUUGACGGGUAGCCGGCCUGAGAGGGUGACCGGCCACAUUGGGACUGAGAUACGGCCCAGACUCCUACGGGAGGCAGCAGUGGGGAAUAUUGCACAAUGGGCGGAAGCCUGAUGCAGCAACGCCGCGUGCGGGAUGACGG
rnacentral:rRNA from 1 species